AAUAGAUACCCCCGGUAGUCCACGCCGUAAACUAUGAUUACUCGAUGUCGGCGAUAUACUGUCGGUGUCCAAGCGAAAGUGAUAAGUAAUCCCACCUGGGGAGUACGAUCGCAAGGUUGAAACUCAAAGGAAUUGACGGGGGCCCGCACAAGCGGUGGAGCAUGUGGUUUAAUUCGAUGAUACGCGAGGAACCUUACCUGGGCUUGAAUGCAUUAUGACCGUCCCGGAAACGGGACUUUCUUCGGACAGAAUGCAAGGUGCUGCAUGGUUGUCGUCAGCUCGUGCUGUGAGGUGUCGGGUUAAGUCCCAUAACGAGCGCAACCCCUAUUCUUAGUUGCCAGCGGGUAAUGCCGGGGACUCUAAGAAAACUGCCCGCGUAAGCGGUGAGGAAGGUGGGGAUGACGUCAAAUCAUCACGGCCCUUACGUCCAGGGGCUACACACGUGCUACAAUGGUCAGUCAAAGGGCAGCUACCUGGUGACAGGAUGCUAAUCUCGAAAAACUGAUCUCAGUUCGGAUCGAAGUCUGCAACUCGUAC
rnacentral:rRNA from 1 species